GUAAGACUGGGAUAACUCCGGGAAACCGGAGCUAAUACCGGAUAGUUCCUUGAACCGCAUGGUUCAAGGAUGAAAGACGGUUUCGGCUGUCACUUACAGAUGGACCCGCGGCGCAUUAGCUAGUUGGUGAGGUAACGGCUCACCAAGGCGACGAUGCGUAGCCGACCUGAGAGGGUGAUCGGCCACACUGGGACUGAGACACGGCCCAGACUCCUACGGGAGGCAGCAGUAGGGAAUCUUCCGCAAUGGACGAAAGUCUGACGGAGCAACGCCGCGUGAGUGAUGAAGGUUUUCGGAUCGUAAAGCUCUGUUGUUAGGGAAGAACAAGUGCAAGAGUAACUGCUUGCACCUUGACGGUACCUAACCAGAAAGCCACGGCUAACUACGUGCCAGCAGCCGCGGUAAUACGUAGGUGGCAAGCGUUGUCCGGAAUUAUUGGGCGUAAAGGGCUCGCAGGCGGUUUCUUAAGUCUGAUGUGAAAGCCCCCGGCUCAACCGGGGAGGGUCAUUGGAAACUGGGAAACUUGAGUGCAGAAGAGGAGAGUGGAAUUCCACGUGUAGCGGUGAAAUGCGUAGAGAUGUGGAGGAACACCAGUGGCGAAGGCGACUCUCUGGUCUGUAACUGACGCUGAGGAGCGAAAGCGUGGGGAGCGAACAGGAUUAGAUACCCUGGUAGUCCACGCCGUAAACGAUGAGUGCUAAGUGUUAGGGGGUUUCCGCCCCUUAGUGCUGCAGCUAACGCAUUAAGCACUCCGCCUGGGGAGUACGGUCGCAAGACUGAAACUCAAAGGAAUUGACGGGGGCCCGCACAAGCGGUGGAGCAUGUGGUUUAAUUCGAAGCAACGCGAAGAACCUUACCAGGUCUUGACAUCCUCUGACAACCCUAGAGAUAGGGCUUUCCCUUCGGGGACAGAGUGACAGGUGGUGCAUGGUUGUCGUCAGCUCGUGUCGUGAGAUGUUGGGUUAAGUCCCGCAACGAGCGCAACCCUUGAUCUUAGUUGCCAGCAUUCAGUUGGGCACUCUAAGGUGACUGCCGGUGACAAACCGGAGGAAGGUGGGGAUGACGUCAAAUCAUCAUGCCCCUUAUGACCUGGGCUACACACGUGCUACAAUGGACAGAACAAAGGGCUGCGAGACCGCAAGGUUUAGCCAAUCCCACAAAUCUGUUCUCAGUUCGGAUCGCAGUCUGCAACUCGACUGCGUGAAGCUGGAAUCGCUAGUAAUCGCGGAUCAGCA
rnacentral:rRNA from 1 species